rnacentral:lncRNA from 1 species
GCACAUUUAAAGGACAGCAAUAAACUGAAGAAGAUCCAUUACAGAGUGAUCCAGAUGGUUAAGGGCCUGGAGGGCAUGGGAGGUAAGGGACAGAUUAAAAAUCCUGGAAGAGGUUAUUUGAAAAUAAAGAAGCUAAAGGAAGACAUGACAAACUAAGAUUUAAAGGAAUGUUAAGUAGUAGGUGGAUUAAGGUUUUUUGUUUGGUUGUUUUUUUGUUUGGUUUUUUUGUUUUUCGUCACUUGCAAGAAUAAAAUUUGAACCACUGACUGGAGACUAAAGUUAGUUGGAUUUCAGAUCCAUCUUAGGAAGAAUUUUUUAAUGUUUGAUCUCUGUAAAAAGGGGUGAGCACCUUUGUGCAGUAGUGACUUUCCUGUAUAAGAAGCUAGUGCUAGUACUUAUUCCAGAUUUUGUAGGAUCAAUUCAGGUAUAGAAAAAGGAAAUAGACCACAUGACCUCUUGGAAUAUCUGCAGUGCUAAAUGGCUAUGAUUCUUCAGUAUUUGAGCCUUAUUAUCCACCAUUUUCUUUUUUUACAUUUUUUUUUGUUUGUCUUUUAAAACAGCUUUAUUGAAGUGUAAUUUACAUAUAAAAAUCACUUAAUUUAAAUGGACAUUUUAAGACUUUUUUAGGCCAGGUUUAGGUUGACAACAAAAUUUAGAGAACUAGAGAUUUUCCAUGUGUCCCCUGUCCCCACGCAUGCAUGGUCUCUGCCAUUAUCAACAUUCCCUACUAGGGUGGUACAUUUGUUACAGCUGAUGGAGAGCUACAUUGACACAUAAUCACCUGAAGUCCUCUAUUCUCUGCCUAUCCAUUCUCCUCUGCCAACCCUGGCAACCACUGAUCUUUUUCCUGUCUCCAUAGUUUUUUCUUUGCCAGAAAGCAAUAUGGUUGGAAUCAUACAGUAUGUAACCUUUUCAGAUUGGCUUCUUUCACUUAGUAAUAAUCAUUUAAGGUUCUUCCAUGUCUUUUCAUGGCUUGAUAGUUCAUUUCCUUUUAAUGCUGAAUGGUGUUCCAUUAUCUCAAUGUACCCCAGUUAAUUUAUCCCCUCACUGACUAAAGGACAUCUUGGUUGCUAUUUAUCACUUUCUUAGUGAACCCUUCUUGCUUUAAUUCACUCAGUUCUCCUCACCUACCAUGGUUUAUUCUGAUCCCAUACCACUGCACAUACUUACCCACUCCUGAAAUUUAUUCCCAUCAACUCCCCCAAAGUCAGUUCAAAGAGUCAUCUAAUUACAUUCACUUCUCUGGUUGCUUUGCAGAUGAAUUAAUUAGGAUUUAAGCUCAGUGUCUGUAAAUACCAGGAAAAAAGAAAAACAAACAGACAAACAAAAAACAGUGGUAGAAUGUAAUAGAAGGUCAUUUCUUCCUUAGGUAACAGCCCAGAAGUAGGCAGUCUUGACAGUGGUUUUGCUUAUGUUUGAUAAGUGGCUUCCAUCUCUCUGGCCCAGGCAGUGUUUCCCCUUCUCACCUUCUUGCUGCAGCAGGCUCUUGGAAAGGUGCCAAGGCAGUGCAUGCUCAAUAAUUUAAACUGCAAAUGUGGAAACGGAAUAUAUCACCCUCGUUCACAUUGCAUUAACCAGAAUUUUACCUCAUGGUUAUACUGACUGUAAGGUAGACUAGGGAAUAGAGUCUUCCUUGAGUGGCCAGGGACCAGCUAAAACUCGAUCAUAGAUGAAAAGGGGAAUGGAUGUCAGAGAAUAUCCCUCUAUUGACCAGGGCUACCCCUCAGAAUUGCUUAUUUGGGGGUUCGUUGCCUUAUUUUUUUUCUCUUUUGUGACAGUAAAUUUUGCUUUUCAGAAAACAAUUUUAUUUUGAAUCAUAAUUUGCUAUUAAUUCCAUUAAAAGCUUAGGGAUAAGUUCUUAUGUUUAAAAUUUUGAACCCUUGAUCUAUCACUGAUUUUAGUAUUGUCUUUUUUCAGUGUGAACUUUCUUUUAAAAACAUAUUGCAGCACUAUUCACAAUAGCCAAGACAUCAAAACAACCCAAAUGUGCAUUAACAGCUGAUUGGAUUAGGAAGAUAUGGUAUAUAUACACAAUGGAAUACUACUCAGCUAUUCAAAGAAUGAAAUAAUGCCAUUUGCAGCAACAUGGAUGCAACUAGAGACUCUCAAAAUGAGUGAAGUAAGUCAGAAAGAGAAAGACAAAUACCAUAGGAUAUCACUUAUAUCUGGAAACUAAUAUAUGGCACAAAUGAACCUUUCCACAGAAAAGAAAAUCAUGGACUUAGAGAAUAGACUUGUGGUUGCCAAGGGGAAGGGGAGGGAGUGGGAUGUAUGGGAAGCUUGGGAUUAACAGAUACAGACUAUUGCCUUUGGAAUGCAUUAGCAAUGAGAUCCUGCUGUGUACCACUGGGAAAUAUGUCUAGUCACUUAUGAUGGAGCAUGAUAAUGAGAGAAAAAAGAAUAUAUACAUAUAUGUGUAACUGGGUCACCCUGCUGUACAGUAGAAAAUUGACAGAACACUAUAAACCAGCUAUAAUGGAAAAAAAUAAAAAUCAU